rnacentral:rRNA from 1 species
UACGAAGGAGGCAAGCGUUGUCCGGAAUUACUGGGUGUAAAGCGCGUGUAGGCGGCUGGCUAAGUCUGUGGUGAAAUCGCGCGGCUCAACUGGGCGGGGUCCAUGGAAACUGGUCAGCUGGAGGACGGUAGAGGUGAGUGGAAUUCCCGGUGUAGUGGUGAAAUGCGUAGAGAUCGGGAGGAACACCCGUGGCGAAGGCGGCUCACUGGGCCGGUCCUGACGCUGAGGUGCGAAAGCGUGGGGAGCAAACAGG